rnacentral:rRNA from 1 species
UACGUAGGGUGCGAGCGUUGUCCGGAAUUAUUGGGCGUAAAGAGCUCGUAGGCGGUCUGUCGCGUCUGCUGUGAAAACCCGAGGCUCAACCUCGGGCCUGCAGUGGGUACGGGCAGACUAGAGUGCGGUAGGGGAGAAUGGAAUUCCUGGUGUAGCGGUGGAAUGCGCAGAUAUCAGGAGGAACACCGAUGGCGAAGGCAGGUCUCUGGGCAUUAACUGACGCUGAGGAGCGAAAGCAUGGGGAGCGAACAGG